AGUGAACGCUGGCGGCGUGCCUAAUACAUGCAAGUCGAACGGAGAUUAAGUAGCUUGCUAUUUAAUCUUAGUGGCGCACGGGUGAGUAAUAUAUAGCUAACUUGCCCAUUACUAAGGGACAACAGUUGGAAACGACUGCUAAUACCUUAUACUCCGUAUCUAUAUAAGUAGAUACGGGAAAGGUUUUCGGUAAUGGAUAGGGCUAUAUCGUAUCAGCUAGUUGGUAAGGUAAUGGCUUACCAAGGCUAUGACGCGUAACUGGUCUGAGAGGAUGAUCAGUCACACUGGAACUGAGACACGGUCCAGACUCCUACGGGAGGCAGCAGUAGGGAAUAUUGCUCAAUGGGGGAAACCCUGAAGCAGCAACGCCGCGUGGAGGAUGACACUUUUCGGAGCGUAAACUCCUUUUCUUGGGAAAGAAUUAUGACGGUACCCAAGGAAUAAGCACCGGCUAACUACGUG
rnacentral:rRNA from 1 species